CGACACUAGCAGACAAAAAAAACCAUAGAGAAUGAGAGUCAAAUGAAAGUGAAUAAGAACUUGUGUGCUGUCGCUGCUCGUGAUUUCAUCAUUACUUCUUCUUCAAAAAGCGAAUCCUUCCUUUUCCUGGUAAUGGAACAAAGAAAUUGGGCGGGAAAUCAGUCUAGACAGCUACAAUCCUAGGUGUUUAAUGUUUUGGAUGGAGAGGUUCUUAGCAAAGAGGGGAACAUGGAAACUUUGUUCUCUUAUAUUACACCCAUCUCGUACUGUGUAUGGUACAUCCUCAUCAAGGGCCUUAAAGUGUCGUCUGUUUGCUACUGGAUCUGUAGAAG